UGAACGGGAUUCCGUCUGAGUUGUCUUGGUUGGUGUUGGUUGCGCUCCACCUUCCGCCAAGAAACCUGCAAACAGCCUUGCACCACCACCAGGGUGGUGAUGGCCCUCCGACGGUCAAGUCAGAGGAGAUUGGAGGAGGAGGAGAGGUGAUAAUCGCAAGUAAGAGAGUGCUCUGGGAGAUAUUGCUCACCUCCCCCCCUUUCUCCC
rnacentral:lncRNA from 1 species